rnacentral:rRNA from 1 species
UACGUAGGGUGCGAGCGUUAAUCGGAAUUACUGGGCGUAAAGCGCGCGCAGGCGGUUUGCUAAGACAGGUGUGAAAUCCCCGGGCUUAACCUGGGAACUGCGCUUGUGACUGGCAGGCUAGAGUACGGUAGAGGGGGGUGGAAUUCCUGGUGUAGCAGUGAAAUGCGUAGAUAUCAGGAGGAACACCGAUGGCGAAGGCAGCCCCCUGGGCCUGUACUGACGCUCAUGCACGAAAGCGUGGGGAGCAAACAGGAUUAGAUACCCGGGUAGU